GCCGGGGUGGCGGAAUUGGUAUACGCGAUAGAUUCAAAACCUAUUGUCGCAAGACAUGAGGGUUCAAGUCCCUCUCCCGGCA
rnacentral:tRNA from 1 species